UGCAGAUUUCUGAACAUACUGAUAAAGAAGCAUUCACUCGUGAUGAUGGAGAUGCAAGACUGGGGGAUUGUGAUACGAGAAGUUCUAUGUUUUUGGACACAGUUGAUUCGGAAACAGAAGGUUUCAGAAAAGAGCAUACAAGUGCUGAAGUUUUUUCUCACAGCGAAGAAACUGCAACUAAAACUUUAGAUGGUUAUGAUGCUUCUCUGGAGAUUGGAUUGACUGCAGAGCAAGUUUUAGGAGUCAAUAAGACAGAUCAUCCAGCAAUUUCUCUAGAAACUUAUCUCAGCAUGGACUAAUGCAUGAAGAUACAGCUGAAAAUAAAAGUUCUGUGGAUGCCAAAAUGGAAGCUAGUGUUGGCAAAAAGAAAAGGAAAAAGGGUCCUUUAACCAAAGAAA